rnacentral:rRNA from 1 species
AUGCAUGUCUAAGCAUAAAUGAAUUCAUAGUGAAGCCGCGAAUAGCUCAUUACAACAGCCAUCGUUUAAUGGAUAUAUUUUUACAUGGAUAACUGUGGUAAUUCUACAGCUAAUACACGCAUCAAAACCCAACCUUACGGUGGGGUGCGUUUGUUACUUCAAACCAAUCGGACUUCGGUCUGAAAUCAAGUGAUAUUGAACAAUUUAGCUGAUCGCACGGUCUGAGAACCGGCGACAUAUCCUUCAAAUGUCUGCCUUAUCAACUUUCGAUGGUAGAUUACGCGCCUACCAUGGUUGUAACGGGUAACGGAGAAUCAGGGUUUGAUUCCGGAGAGGGAGCCUGAGAAACGGCUACCACAUCCAAGGAAGGCAGCAGGCACGCAAAUUACCCACUCCCGGCACGGGGAGGUAGUGACGAAAAAUAACAAGCUGGUCUCAAUGAGUUCCGGCAUUGUAAUGGGAACAAUUUAAAUCAUUUAUCGAGGAUCUAUUGGAGGGCAAGUCUGGUGCCAGCAGCCGCGGUAAUUCCAGCUCCAAUAGCGUAUAUUAAAGUUGUUGCGGUUAAAAAGCUCGUAGUUGGAUCUAGGAUUAGGGCUACGGUCGUUCAGCUUGGACGUACUGUAUGUCCGACUCCUUUUCUCCAGUAUUCGAUUGUUGCUCUUAAAUGAGUGACUCUAGUUGCUGGAACUUUUACCUUGAAAAAAUUGAAGUGCUCAAAGCAGGUUUCCGCCUGAACAUUGCUGCAUGGGAUAAUAGAAUAGGAUUUCGGUCCUAUUUUGUUGGUUUCGGGACACGAAAUAAUGAUUAAUAGGGACAGACGGGGGCAUUUGUAUUGCUGCGUUAGAGGUGAAAUUCUUGGAUCGUAGCAAGACAAACUACUGCGAAAGCAUUUGCCAAGAAUGUUUUCAUUAAUCAAGAACGAAAGUUAGAG